rnacentral:rRNA from 1 species
GAUGAACGCUGGCGGCGUGCCUAAUACAUGCAAGUCGAACGCUUCACUUCGGUGAAGAGUGGCGAACGGGUGAGUAAUACAUAAGUAACCUGGCAUCUACAGGGGGAUAACUGAUGGAAACGUCAGCUAAGACCGCAUAGGUGUAGAGAUCGCAUGAACUCUAUAUGAAAAGUGCUACGGGACUGGUAGAUGAUGGACUUAUGGCGCAUUAGCUUGUUGGUAGGGUAACGGCCUACCAAGGCAACGAUGCGUAGCCGACCUGAGAGGGUGACCGGCCACACUGGGACUGAGACACGGCCCAGACUCCUACGGGAGGCAGCAGUAGGGAAUUUUCGGCAAUGGGGGAAACCCUGACCGAGCAACGCCGCGUGAAGGAAGAAGUAAUUCGUUAUGUAAACUUCUGUCAUAGAGGAAGAACGGUGGAUAUAGGGAAUGAUAUCCAAGUGACGGUACUCUAUAAGAAAGCCACGGCU